AUAAUAAAAAUCACAACAUAAAAAAAUCAUAUCAAAGUUUCUUUCCUUUUUUGUUUUCUUCUUUAUUUUUCUUUCUUUUCUUUUUUCAUUAUUAAACCAAAAUUAAAAGAAUAAAUAUAACUCAAAAUAAAAAUUUAUAAAAGAAAAGAAGUUAAAAGAUAAAUAAAAAAAUUAUAAAAAAAACAAAACAAAAAUAAAAUAAAAAAUCUGAAAACUGCAGAUGAAUUGGGUCAGAGGAGCGAAUUAUCGUCGGUCUUUGGCAGACACGUGGGUCGACUUUCACUGGUACGUAAACGGCAUCGUUUGACUUAGUCGUUAAAAAUUAAAAAAAAAUAAAAAACUUCUUUUCUAUAUUCUUCUUCUCUCUCAAAUUUUUUUUCUCUCUAAAUCCUCUGUAAUGUUCAAGCUCCGAGAACAGCCACCGUGUAACCCAGAAAACGAUCAGUCGCCACCACUCUUCCGCCGUCAGUUCAGGUAGCCGUCGUGCGCCGGUUGCGGAGACCCCAAAAAUUCUGCCGAACAUUCCUCUCAGUCUCUCCUUUUUUGGUCCGACCAGAUUCUUAAAAAUCCCCUUAAAAGUCCCUAAAUUUAAGCCCAACAGUCGAUACUGCCACUGUCCAAACCGCCGUUUAUAUAGCCUAGAGCCACCAAAAUUUGCUUCCUUUUCUAUCCAAGUUCUAAUUGAUGACAACCAGAAUCUCUAAAAGCUUUCCCUUACCGUUACCCGAAAAAGAGAAAAACUUUGCCCAAUUUCCGUUUAUUACAAUUUUUGGUUUUCUGUGUGAAUUGUGUUGCGCUCGAUUCCUCUGUUUCUGCUGAGUUUCGUCUGUAUUGAGUUGUGUUUCUGCUUAUUCUAUUUGUUCGGGCUUGGGUUUUGAUUCUGGGUUUGGGUAUGUUUCUGGGUGUUCUGUUUGUGUCUUCUGUGUUCUGCAAUGUAUGACUGCUGGGUCUGUUCGGUUUAUUUCUAGUGAAUUUGUUUCCUGGGUUUUUGGUGGAUUCGGUUCUAGGUAUGGUCUAAUGCUAUCAGGGUUACUGCUUGGCAAAUGGUUAUUGAAGCUGUGUGUGCUGCUGAAUUGCUUGAAUUACUGCAGAAUUGCUUCUUGUCACUUGUCAUUCCCUCUAUGAUUGCCUACCCAAAAAUUUUCAAAAUAUUCCCUAGCGCGAAAAGCUUCCCAAAACAAUUGCUUUGCUGUGCUUGAUUUUUCUGCUUUGUUUGAUCUCCAGAUUGAGCGCUGUUGUGACCUCCUUUUAUGUUAAAUCAAAUCCCAAAGCUCGUAGGAAAGUUUUUUGAAAGAAUCGAAUCUUUCAAGAUCCGGUUCUUGAUUUCUUUGAAUGUUUUAGCAUUAGAUUAAUGCCCAAGUAUUGCCAAAUCCCAGCUUUGUAUGACUCCUUCAAAUCUCUCAAGAAAGUCAUGAAUCAAGCUUUCCAAGCUUCAAUUUCCUGUUUUUCCUUUUUUUUUUUCUUUUUUGACUUUUUAAUAAAAAUAAAAAUGUAUUUGAAAAUUUUUAAAAAUUCACAUCUUAAAUGAAAAUUUUUUUAAGAUACAUACUCAAAAUUUAAGAAUUAAAAAAUUUUAAAAAUUUAUAUCUAAAAUUUAAAAUUUUUAUUAAAAAAUUUAUAUUUAAAUAUUCAUAUAAAAAAUUUUAAAAAUUCACAUUUAAAAUUUAAUGAUUCACAUUUGAAAGGCUAACAUCUAAAAUUCAAAAUUUCACUUUAAAAAUUUCUAAAACAUUAAUUGAAAAGGCUUUUCCCCACGAGACAUUAAUGGAACUUUAAAAAUCUUCUCAAAAAAUUUUCCUUAUCCAUAACUAAAAAUUCUUUUAAAUUAAAAUCAAAAGCUCAUCUUAACAAAAAUUUUCCAAUUUGAGAGCCAAAAUUUUAUCUUGAAAAUUUUUCCUUAAUCAAAUAUUAAAAUCUUAUUUUUGAAAAUUUUUCGUCAAGUAUUAAAAUGUCUUUUUUUUUUUUUUGUAAAUCUCAUAUUUCAACAUAUUUCUUUAAUUCAAAAUUAUCGAGUUCAAAAUUUUUUUCAUGAAAAUUCUUAGAAUUUCAAUUUCAAAAUCAAAAUUUAAAAUUAAAUGCAAUGAAUUCCACAAAGGGCAAUGCAUGAAAUGCAAAAAUCAAUGUUAUGCAUAUCUAAUUAUGAUAAAAGGAUCCUCAAGACUUUUCUUCAUAUAUAUUUUUCUUUUUCAGCUUUCCAUUAUGUUCUUCUUCAACUUCUUUAGAAUUGGCCAUUAAAUUUAUUAAUCAAUUUGUGACCCAAAAUUUAAAGUAAAUUAUCAAAU
rnacentral:lncRNA from 1 species